CCCACUGCUGCACACCACCACCUGCUCAAAGUGAGAAAUAUCUUAGCUCCUAGUUUUUUAGUUCAGGUCCAAAUGCUAAUGGCCCACAGGAUCUACGCACAUGUCAAAAAAGUAAAGACAGGAACAAAAACCAGCCAACAGGUGAGAAAGCCUCUGGUUUAACCUUAUCCAAUGUUCCAAGAGACAGUGAAAACCUCAAAUCCAGGGGCCACAUGCACCGCAUUCCCAACAAAAGCACACGUUUCAACAUCAUCUCACUUCGUGUAUAAAUUACUUGCCCUCUUCCCUUUCAAUCUCAGCUUCACAUAUAACUAGCAAAAACAGAUAGUAACCAGAAAAACAUGGAGGCAUUUCAGUCUUGGGUUUCAGAACACAAGCUCACUAGCAUUGGUGCAGUUUGGGCAUCUGCAAUUGGGGCAUCGUUGGCUUAUAACAGCCGUGGAAAAAGCACUCUUAAGCCAAGUCUGAGGCUUAUUCAUGCAAGGAUGCACUCACAAGCCUUAACACUGGCGGUGCUGUCUGGUGCAGCAGCUUACCAUUACUAUGAAAAAAGUACCAGUAACCAAGAGAAGGUCACCAAUGCCUAGACCAGAUUCAUAGCUCAUAAUAGCUGUAUUAUGUAACAUUGAAAUCUUGAUUAUUAGUGGUUUGAUGAUGAUGAAAAAAUCGAAAUUAAUGAUGUAUCCUUUCUUCUUCUUUUUUAUGAAUGUGACCUUUGAUUGGCCUUUUAUCAUUCUACUUUCUAGUUUCUUUUCAUAAUAUCACCAAGUUGAAUGAAAGGAAUAUAGCGUAUCGAAAUAUAACGUACCAGGUUAAUUCCAGGACUUGGAUUGGAGUGUGAAUAAUUUAUGUAAGCAUUGAAGCAGCUGUAUCAUUUGUUCCCAAAGAUGCCAUUUCUACUAACAAACCAACAAGAAAUGCAGGCAGCAAUUGAAAAGAAAUAAACAGAAGGGAAUGAAUGAAUCGAUAGAAACCGAAAAAGCAGUGAUAUCAAUCUUUAACUAUAAAAGAAAAAACAAACCAACAUUUUCUUCUCAAUCCUCAUCUUCAUUUCUUGGUGAAAUAAAGAAUAGCUUACAGAAAAUAUCCAUGGUGAUCAAAGUUCAUGGAAUUCCCCUCUCUACAUGCACUGCACGCGUCUUGCUUUGCCUAUGCGAGAAAGGCCUCCAAUACGAGCUUGUCCCGGUCGAUGUCGAAAAUUCUGCCCACAAAAACCACCUUAUUUAUCUCUAAAUCCCUUUGGCCAGAUAGCGGCAUUAGAAGAUGGAGAUGUCAAGAUCUUUGAAUCAAGGGCAAUAUGCAAAUACUUGGCACGCAAAUAUAACGAAACUAGAAUCACCAUCGAUCUUUUGGGUUCAAGUAGUUUAACGGACUCCACCCUUGUGGAUACAUAGAUGGAAGUGGAGUCUCACCAAUUCAAUCCUCCAACCAAGCACUCAUUCGCCAAAUGAUCGUCAAUCCAAUAUACGGGAUCGCCCCUGACGAGAAGAUCAUCGAGAUCGAAUUGCAUAACCUAGCCAAAGUUCUCGAUGUCUACGAGGAAAGGUUGUCGGAAUAUAAAUAUCUCGGAGGAGAUUUCUAUAGCAUGGCCGAUUUGCACCAUAUACCUGACCUUGUUUAUUUCAUGAGAAGCUCUAAAUCGUCAAUUGUAACUAGUCGGCCUUGUGUGAAUGCUUGGUGGAAUGAUAUUUCAUCAAGACCUGCAUCGGUUAAAGUUGUGGAACUCAUG